GACAACGGAAUGAAAAAAGCUGGGUGAGCUCUACAAAAACAAUUAAGUACCCGAAGGCGCUACGUCACCGGAACCAGGGUAUGGUGGGCGGGCCUUUGAAAGCUGCUCCAAAGACCAAGCCUGGAGUGACGGGAAAAAUCCUCCAUUCACCUUCCUAAGUGAGUGAGGUACGUGGUCCCAAACGGUGGGCUGGUUUCAUAGAGAGAACCCGUGUCCUAGGUCUCUCUGGACCCCGAGAAACUCCUCAGUCCCAGUUUCCUGUCUGUAGCCCUGAGAGAGACAGUAGUCAGCUGCGCAGCGGCGGUAACCGCAGCACGGAGACUCUGGAACCUCCCAGGGGUCACAUUCAUCAGCUAGUUCUGUUCACCUAUGAAUCUGAACUAAGAGCUGUGGAUGGUGAGGAUAGAAAACUGUAGCGAAGGAUCCAGGUCUCCCACUGCCCAGACAGAUCUACUCACCUGAGAAUCAGAACUACGAGCCCUGGAUGGUGAAGACAGGGUACGGUUGCCAAGGAUCCAGUAUGUCAGUGUUCAUCAAACCUUAUCUUGAAAAAAACCAACCAUCAACAUCAUCAUCGUCAUCAUCAUCUUCGUCAUCAUCAUCAUCAUCACCACCACCUCUUUGUAGUGCCAAGUAGGAGCAAGGAACUGAAGUUGACUUUAUUGUUUUUUAUUUUAAUUUUUACUUUUGUAAAAAUGAUUCAUUUUAUAUAUAGAACUACUCUCUCUCUCUCUACACGUACAUCUGCAUAACUGCAUGCCAGAAGAGGACAUCAGAUCACAUUGUGCGGGGUUAUGAUUCACUAUGUAGUUGCUGGGAAUUGAACUCUGGACUGCUGGAAAAGCAGACAGUACUCUUAACCAGUGACCCAUCUCUCCAGCCCUAACUGCACUUGAAAAGACAUUUCAUAAUCUGAAGUGGAGAGAAAAUCCAAACUAAACUGAUGGUGGUAAAUCCUUUAUCUACUACUCAGAAAAUUCAUGGUGGAGAAAGAUCUUC
ensembl:lncRNA